CUUCUCGUGGAGUAGCGGCAACGCGCCUGUCUAGUGAGUAGGAGUCGUGAGUUCGAGUCUCACCGAGAGGA
rnacentral:tRNA from 1 species